rnacentral:rRNA from 1 species
GACGAACGCUGGCGGCGUGCUUAACACAUGCAAGUCGAACGGAAGGGCCCUGCUUUUGUGGGGUGCUCGAGUGGCGAACGGGUGAGUAACACGUGAGUAACCUGCCCUUGACUUUGGGAUAACUUCAGGAAACUGGGGCUAAUACCGGAUAGGAGCUCCUGCUGCAUGGUGGGGGUUGGAAAGUUUCGGCGGUUGGGGAUGGACUCGCGGCUUAUCAGCUUGUUGGUGGGGUAGUGGCUUACCAAGGCUUUGACGGGUAGCCGGCCUGAGAGGGGGACCGGCCACGUUGGGCUUGGGAUGCGGCCGAGACUCCUGCGGGAGGCAGCAGUGGGGAAUAUUGCACAAUGGGCGGAAGCUUUAUGCAGCAACCCCGCGUGCGGGAUGACGACCUUCGGGUUGUAAACCGUUUUCUCCUGUGACGAAGCGUGAGUGACGGUAAUGGGUAAAGAAGCACCGGCUAACUACGUG